rnacentral:rRNA from 1 species
ACUCCUGCGGGAGGCAGCAGUAGGGAAUCUUCCACAAUGGGUGCAAACCUGAUGGAGCAAUGCCGCGUGAGUGAAGAAGGUCUUCGGAUCGUAAAGCUCUGUUGUUAGAGAAGAACACGUGCUAGGUAACUACUAGCGCCUUGACGGUAUCUAACCAGAAAGUCACGGCUAACUACGUGCCAGCAGCCGCGGUAAUACGUAGGUGACAAGCGUUGUCCGGAUUUAUUGGGCGUAAAGGGAGCGCAGGCGGUCUGUUUAGUCUAAUGUGAAAGCCCACGGCUUAACCGUGGAACGGCAUUGGAAACUGACAGACUUGAAUGUAGAAGAGGAAAAUGGAAUUCGAAGUGUAGCGGUGGAAUGCGUAGAUAUUUGGAGGAACACCAGUGGCGAAGGCGAUUUUCUGGUCUAACAUUGACGCUGAGGCUCGAAAGCGUGGGGAGCGAACAGGAUUAGAAACCCGAGUAGUCCCAUG